rnacentral:lncRNA from 1 species
CCGCUGCGAAGGAGGAGGAGGGAGAGGAGGAAGGGAGGAAACCUCCCUGGUACCCUUGGUCUCGCUGCCGCGGCGGCCGCUCCUCGCCCGGGCUGAGCGUGUCUGGCGGGGGGUCUGGUAGCAUUUCCUUAAGGACAGAGAGAGGGCAGGCGCGGAGGGAGGGGAGAGAUCCCGACCGCCAGCCCCGGGCUCCUCUCGCCUUUAUUUAUUUUUCUGACACUGUACGGAGAUGGCCCCCGGGUAGGGGCAGCGGGAGCCGCGGGGCCCGGACCGCAGCUGUCUGCGUGCGGGAGCCGCAGCGGCCGCCUCCCUCCUCCCGGGUUGUGGACGCACCGGGUUAUUCCUGGGAGCGCUUCCCCGAACAGAAGUUACUAGGAGUGCGCGGCGAGGGCGGGCGGGGGAGGGCGGGAGGAAGAGGGAGAGACUCAGCCAGCGACGUCAUCGGAUCCCCCAGCGAGUCCCGGGGAGGGAGGCCGAACCAGAAAAACCAGUCUGGAGCGGCCUCCUUGAACUGAGCAGCCUCAAGGGAACCGGCCCCAGUGUCUCGUCUACAAAUUGAAAGUUGGGCAAGAUCCUGUAUUAGAGUUACCAAGACUACGUCCUUCAGAUGUUCAUCAAGACUAAACUCAGUUACCUCUCAAACCUACUUUGGGAAUCACUACUCUACUAAGCUACCUCUUCACUGACAGAGUCUCCUUCAAUGUUUUCACAUCCUUUUGUGGUAAGUGGAAACAAUUUGUCUACCUUGGUUGAUUGAGAUCAUCUGGCCAAUCACUAUGUGCCACAUGAUGCUAGCUGGAGCUGCAGUUACCUGGGGCUUGACUGAUGCUUUUGCAAGAAGGCUGAAAGGCAGAAUUUAGCUUCCUGUCUUGGCUUAGUUCCUUGUCCCUGGAAUACAUUUCUGACACCAGCUUAAAGGAGGAGAAGUCUGGCUCAUGUUUUCAGCCCAUGGUGUAUGUGGG